AGUGAACGCUGGCGGUAGGCCUAACACAUGCAAGUCGAACGGCAGCACAGUAAGAGCUUGCUCUUACGGGUGGCGAGUGGCGGACGGGUGAGGAAUACAUCGGAAUCUACUUUUUCGUGGGGGAUAACGUAGGGAAACUUACGCUAAUACCGCAUACGACCUACGGGUGAAAGCAGGGGAUCUUCGGACCUUGCGCGAUUGAAUGAGCCGAUGUCGGAUUAGCUAGUUGGCGGGGUAAAGGCCCACCAAGGCGACGAUCCGUAGCUGGUCUGAGAGGAUGAUCAGCCACACUGGAACUGAGACACGGUCCAGAGUCCUACGGGAGGCAGCAGUGGGGAAUAUUGGACAAUGGGCGCAAGCCUGAUCCAGCGAUACCGCGUGGGUGAAGAAGGCCUUCGGGUUGUAAAGCCCUUUUGUUGGGAAAGAAAAGCAGCAGGUUAAUACCCCGCUGUUCUGACGGUACCCAAAGAAUAAGCACCGGCUAACUUCGUG
rnacentral:rRNA from 1 species